AAAAUAUUAUGUUAUUGCAUGUGUUUCUCCUUAGUAAAAGACAAGAGUCAUAAGUAUACCUUUUUAGUCAGUCAGUCCAUGUGUAAUGUGUGAGUAGGGGAGAGGUAUGAAGGAGGACAAGGAAAGUAAAAAGGGAGAGAGAGAAGAGGAAAAGAGGAAGAUGGAGGAGGGAGAGAGACAGACAGACAAACUGAGUGACUGACUGACUCUGUACUUUGACAUCUGAGUACUGUAUCCUAAUGACAUCCACUAGUAUGAACCUACUUACAGGAAUGUAGAAAUGUCCCUUUCAAAAGAGUCAUGCUUUGUGUUCACACUCCAAGAAACAAUUUAUCUUGGGACUAUGUAUACUUACAUCUUGAUUCCUUUCAGUAUUCAAGUUCAUCUUAGAAGAAGUCAGUUAUUACCUGGCCCCAUGCUGCAUGGCUGUGAGAGACAUAGACUGAUGAAUCAGAUAGUAAACAAAGAAGAAGUACAACAGUCUGCUCAAAGUGCCAGUGCAGUGACAAUGCCUCAUCUUGGUGAAGGUCAUGGAUUCCGAAGGAGCCCGCAGAGUGCGUGGGUCAAGUCCCACCUUUUGCCUCUAUUUGCUGUGGGAACUUGGAGAAGUUCUGUAUCCUUUUCGUGUUUUUAUUUCAUCAUCUGUAAAAUGGGAACAGUAGUACCUCAUGUUGUUAUGGGAUUAAGUGAGUUAAAAAUGUUAAAGUCUUUUACAGUGUUGGUAUUUAGUAAUUGCAUGAUUUUGGCUAUUACAAUUACCUUUAUGACUAAGUAUUAA
rnacentral:lncRNA from 1 species